GCCGAGGUGGUGAAAUUGGUAGACACGCAAGUUUCAGAUGCUUGUGGGGGAAACCCUGUGGAGGUUCAAGUCCUCUCCUCGGCACCA
rnacentral:tRNA from 1 species